AUUGAACGCUGGCGGCAGGCUUAACACAUGCAAGUCGAGCGGAGACUUCGGUCUUAGCGGCGAACGGGUGAGUAAUACCUAGGAAUCUGCCUAUUAGUGGGGGAUAACGAAUCGAAAGGUUCGCUAAUACCGCAUACGUCCUACGGGAGAAAGGGGGGGAGUCUUCGGACCUCUCGCUAAUAGAUGAGCCUAGGCCGGAUUAGCUAGUUGGUAGGGUAAAGGCCUACCAAGGCGACGAUCUGUAGCUGGUCUGAGAGGAUGGCCAGCCACACUGGAACUGAGACACGGUCCAGACUCCUACGGGAGGCAGCAGUGGGGAAUAUUGGACAAUGGGGGCGAACCCUGAUCCAGCCAUGCCGCGUGUGUGAAGAAGGCCUUCGGUUGGUAAGUACACUUAAGUACGAGGAGGAA
rnacentral:rRNA from 1 species